rnacentral:piRNA from 1 species
UCAGUUGUGCUUUGAGUGUAGGCUC